rnacentral:antisense_RNA from 1 species
GGUGUUGGUGUCCCCCUGUUGCCCAGGCUGGAGUGCAGUGGCAAGACUGGCUCACUGCAACCUCCACCUCCUGGGCUCAAGCGAUCAUCCCACCUCAUCCUCCAGGAGCUGGGACUACAGGAAGAAACUUAUAAUUCACACUUUUGUAGAUGAGGAGGCCAGAACAGAAGAAGCAAGAGACAGGUGACCAUUAAACAACACAGGUUUGAACUGCGUGGAUCCACUUAUAUGCAUACGUGCAUUUUCUCCUGUCUCGGCCACCCCUGAGACAGCAAGACCAAUCACUCCUCUUUGACUUCCUCCUCAUUUUACUCAAUGUGAAGACCACCAGGAUGAAGACCUUUAUGAUGAUCCACUUCCACUUAAUGAAUAGUAAAGAUAUAUUUCUUAUUUCUUUUUAGAACUUUUUCUCUAGCUUACUUUAUUGUAUAUAUACAAUAUAUAAUACAUAUACAAAAUACAUGUUAAUCAACUGUUUCUGUUAGUUAUCAGUACGGCUUCUGGUCAACAGUAGCCUAUUAGUAGUUACAUUUUGGGGGAGUCAAAAGUUACACACAGAUUUUUGAGUGUGCAUGGGGUUAGAGUCCCUAACCUUCAUGUUGUCCAAGGGUCAAAUGUAUAAUAUUUAUUUAAGCAGAGACUUAUUUUAGUGUAUUUAAAUUUUUGGUCACAGAUUUUUCAACUUCUGUGGGUAGGUAACGAGCCAAGGCUCUAAUUUUUUUUUUUUUUUUUUUUUUUUUUUUUUUUUUGUGGGGAGCCUUAAGCCUGGAUUUGGGUCACAUUAUAUAAGGAUGCUAUUAAUUUAAGUAGUAGAGCAGCAGGCUAUGAUUGACUUUGUUGAGUUCCAGGUCCUGUAAGUACAUGGCUUCCGACAGAGUUUCCAUUCUCUUUCUGGUCGAUGGAGAUGCUCACCUUGAGCAUAUAUUUUAUAAUAGUUUUUUUAAAAAACAUAUCUAUCAUCAUUGCAAUAAAUUACAAAUAUAGAAUAAAGCAAUUUCCUGAACUCAUUCUACUAUUUUGAAAUAUGUCAACUGUCAUUAUAUACACAUUUAAAUAGUAUUGAGCUUUUCAAUGUUGUAUCUUUGCAAGCAGACCCUUACCAUUGGGCACACAAGUGUGUAUUUGGCAAAGUGGUGCUAGGUGGCACUACUGGUCUUAAAAAGUCUUAUUGAAUUUUAAUACUUAAAAAAUACCUUUCAUUUUUGUGCAAUAUAUAUUGACCUUCAUUUUACUAAAUAUCACAUUUCACAAAAGAUCUUAGCUAAUUGCAUUAAUAGAGUAAACAAGAAUAUAAAGUAUAAUAUACUUUUAAAGGAUGACAAGGUAAUUUCAAGCUCUUUUAGAAACUAAUUUUGCAGCAGAUGUUUUCAUAUAAUGUGCUAAUUUCAAAUGGUGCUUAUUUAAUUCUUGGAGGAAGCUAUGUCAAUUAUUGUCCAUUUGGAGAAACUAUACAUCCUUUAGAAUAACCCCAAGUAUCUCAGAGCCUUUUAAAAAAUAAUGUCUUAUAUUUUAAAGAUAUUUCAACCAUUUUUAGCAGACUCAGUAGCUAAACUCAAAAAGUAGCAAUGUAGUGGAAAGAUAACACAUUUUAAUGCUAGGCAAAUCUGUGAUCUGAAACCUACCUUCUAUUAUUUUCUAAUUGUUUGAACUUAGGCAAAAUUAACUUCUCUGGGUCUAAUUUUUAACAUAUUUUUUAAGGGGAGAUAACAAUGGCUAUCUAAUUUGUAGAAUUUUGAGUGGUUUAAUUGAGAUAAUGAGUAUAAAUUUCAUUAUAUGGGACUGGCACAGAAUUGAUGUUCAAUAUGUGUUAGUUUCAGUUCUAUUUAUCCAACAUCUGUGAGAUUUUAUCCUAAAAUGUAAAUGUGACGAUUAUGUGCAUCUCCAUCCAGUCAGCCUUAAUGAGUAAGAUUAUGCUUACCAGCUCUUGUAUCCCUUCAUGUCAGAACAAUAAAAGCUGGAUCAAAAAUAGA